rnacentral:rRNA from 1 species
UAAUGCCGGAUGCUCCAGUUGAUCGCAUGGUCUUCUGGGAAAGCUUUCGCGGUAUGGGAUGGGGUCGCGUCCUAUCAGCUUGACGGCGGGGUAACGGCCCACCGUGGCUUCGACGGGUAGCCGGCCUGAGAGGGCGACCGGCCACAUUGGGACUGAGAUACGGCCCAGACUCCUACGGGAGGCAGCAGUGGGGAAUAUUGCACAAUGGGCGCAAGCCUGAUGCAGCGACGCCGCGUGAGGGAUGGAGGCCUUCGGGUUGUAAACCUCUUUUAUCGGGGAGCAAGCGAGAGUGAGUUUACCCGUUGAAUAAGCACCGGCUAACUACGUGCCAGCAGCCGCGGUAAUACGUAGGGUGCAGGCGUUAUCCGGAAUUAUUGGGCGUAAAGGGCUCGUAGGCGGUUCGUCGCGUCCGGUGUGAAAGUCCAUCGCUUAACGGUGGAUCCGCGCCGGGUACGGGCGGGCUUGAGUGCGGUAGGGGAGACUGGAAUUCCCGGUGUAACGGUGGAAUG